rnacentral:lncRNA from 1 species
CUUCCUUGAGUAUGCUCUGAGUACCUGGCUGUGGAAGGAAGAAUGGAAAUUAUAAUAACAAAAUCUUAAUUCUAAUAGAAUACUAACAAUGCUCUAAUGAAACCAUAAUAAUACUAAGCAAGCUUAAUCAAAUUCAAAAAAAACCUCAAAGAAAUUUCAAACAAACAAUAAGAAUUCUUAAAGAAAUAUUAGAAAGUUUAUAAAUAUCACUCAAAUACAUCUCAAUUUAAUCUUAAUUUAGUUCUAGUUAAAAUCCUAUUGAACUUCAUUCAAACUUUAGGCCAAAAAUAAUUAAAACUUAAAUCCUAAUAAAAUCUUAAAUCCUAAAUCAAACCCUAAAUAAACCUUAAAUCAAACCUCAACCAAAUCCUAAAUCAAAUCCAUCCAAACCUUAAACCAAAUCCUAAACCCUAAAUCAAAUACUAACAAAGUCCUCAUCCAAAUCUUAAAUCCUAAACCAAAUCCUAAUUAAAACCCUAAAUCCUAAAUCAAAUCCUAACCAAAUCCUAAACUAUAAAUAAAACCCUAAUCAAAUUCUAAACCAAAUUCUAACCCCUAAACCAAAUCCUAAUCCAAAUCCUAAAUCCUAAACCAAAUCCUAAUAAAAAUCUAAACCCUAAAUUGAACCCUAAUCCAAAUCCUAAACCCUAAAUCAAAUCCUAAUCAAAUCC